GAGUGUUAUAUUAAUGUGUAAUAUAUAAAUGUGAUUCUUCAGAUGGAUUGUUUAGCUCGGUUGCCAGGAGUGAGAGCGGACUUUGUCUGGUAUAAAAUACGCUUGGGGAGCGGAACAAUCUUUGCGUGUUGUUGUAGUACGAACAUAAUAGAAGUGUACUGGUUGCAAGUCGGGAGCGUUGGUGUCUACGUCGUUGUACUUAAGUGUAUUCAACGAGUUAUUGGUGGACGUUUUUGGCGAUUUAUUUAUUUUAGGUAUACCGUAAAGUCCACUUUAUUGAUUUCAACUGUUAUACCGGGGCUUGGCAGACCCAUUAGCGAGGUUGUGGGUAGUAGGCUGCUGGCCUGACCAAACAGAAUUGGAUCGAAGUAAGUUAGCUUGCCGGCUAAGUACCAGGCAAAUAUCCUACAUGCAAAUGUGCAGAAAAGCGGGUAUAAACUAUGAAGCUGUGGUAUUUGUAUUUAAAAAGGGGAAACGUUGGACCCACAGUUGGCAAUUUAAGAUGUAUUGCUAGAGGUAGCUAGCAAGCUAAAUAAGUUGGGAGGAUAGAUAUUCGGUCAAAAAAAGUUAGGAAGUCAAGGUAGAUUAGCUAACGUUAAGAUAGCUAGCCUAAGUAGCUAAAGCUAGUUGGCUACAUGUAGCAUUAACUCUGUAUAUAGGUAGCUAGGUAUCAUACAAAUGUUAUUAGCUGUGCCUCUGCUUGUUUAUUUUACAAAUCCGUAGAAGGCUAUUGUGUGAGAACUUUAGCAGGUAUUUUAUAGUCUGGGUACUGACGAACACCUCGAGUUUCUUCACACCAUACAUCCUUUGUUAAAGUGAAAUAGUGGUACAGUCUGUUGCGUUCACACUGCAAGAUGCCAACAUGCAUAUUAAUUAGUUACCCUGCUGUCUAAGUAACAUCAGUUACAAAGUAAAGGUGGUUCACACUAUCUAGCUAAACAUUUCUCGACGCUGCAGGCAAGCGCUUUAGGGGGGGGGGACUUUGCUAACUAGCUAGGAUACGUUACCUAUCUUAUUUGCUCAAAUGUAACCUUAGACUUGUAUUUAGAAAAAAGUAUGUGCACUGGAUUGCAGUGUGCAAUGUUAAGUUGCACUGGAUUGCAGUGUGCAAUGUUAAAUGUUAAGUACACAUAAUAAAAAGACAACGAGGCUUGCCUCGUUGUCUUUUUAUUAUGUGUACUUAACAUUUAGCUCCACCAGAAUCUGGUUACCAGCCAACAAAAUAAAUAUGAUUAUUAUUCGUUGAGUCUGUCAUGCUAUGGAGCAGUGUCAGUUUACACUCUUGUUUCUUCAGACCCCAGGAAGCAGCAACAGCAGAUGACUGCCAGUGUCUGACCAACUGUCACUCAUGGACAAAGUGGCUGCUGAAACCAUAGCAAUAGCUGAGGGCUCCUACCCUGACCAAGGUGCAAUCUGAGGAAGUGAUGCUGAAUAGUAUAUUCAUAAGGGCAAGGUCCUUGCUCUCUAGUGCAGCUUUGCUGAAGGACUAUUCUGUCUUGUCUUCACUACAGAGCUUUGCUCCUCAGAAA